GGAGAGUCAAAGAAUUCAGGAAUCACCUUUUUCAAAUGUUUCAUUCCCUUUUUCCAUUCCUUAAAGGUAAUGAACUCCCCAAAGGCAGAGACGUUAAUGGAUGAAUGAAGAAAUGAAAUGAGAAGGAGCUAGAAAUGGAACAUGCUAUCUGUGAUGGUGCCUGCAGAGCUGUCUGCAUCCCAUUAUGCCUCACUGUAUGGAAAGGCUUUUAAUUUCAGUCUAAUUCAAGUCAGCAGCAUAGGGCAGCUCCUGGGAAAUUGGUUUACACAUGCGGACAAGCCCAGUAGCCCAGAGCUAACCCACUCACCAUCCCUGACCACAGAGGAGCAGAUAAGGAAGCAAGAUUUGUCGGGAGCUAUGACAAGUUCCACUGUGGAUGGCAAGGAAAUGAGGGGGGCAGCAACCUGUUAAUGAGACUCAAGAGUGUCAAGACCCAUUUUUGUUAUCUGGAUUUUCAAGGCCGAGUUCAAACAUGAGGAUCCUGGAAAGGUUGGCAGACGUCUGCGGAAGCUACCUUCUCUGUUGUAAAAGUCCACAAAUGAGAAGUGGCUGCAGUGUAUAAACCUGUGGACAGCUCUUCUUGUACUGUCACCCACUCUCAUAGCUCACCAUCCUCAGGCACCCUCUUAUCUCUGCUCACAGAGUACCCACCUGAAAUGCCUAACCUGCUAACUCCACCCAGUGAAAUUCUGUGAAUCCCACAA
ensembl:lncRNA novel transcript